UACGAAGGGGGCUAGCGUUGCUCGGAAUUACUGGGCGUAAAGGGCGCGUAGGUGGACUGUUUAGUCAGAGGUGAAAGCCCAGGGCUCAACCUUGGAAUUGCCUUUGAUACUGGCAGUCUUGAGUACGGAAGAGGUAUGUGGAACUCCGAGUGUAGAGGUGAAAUUCGUAGAUAUUCGGAAGAACACCAGUGGCGAAGGCGACAUACUGGUCCGUUACUGACACUGAGGCUCGAAAGCGUGGGGAGCAAACAGG
rnacentral:rRNA from 1 species